rnacentral:rRNA from 1 species
AUGAGGUAUACGGCGUGCUCGACAGGGCCUGGUCCAAGCCGCAUGAGGAGACAGCCCUCCGCGGGAUCCAACCAUUGGAGCGUCCUCGAUCUCAGGCGUCAAGUUGUGAUGAAUUUGGAAGACACACUAUUAACUUACAUAAUAGGGCGAAAAAACGCAAGCAAUGGCAAGGACAAUGCAAGGUGUUGUGAGUUAUCGGUUUUAGUAUUCAUUCUUUUCUGCAGCACACCAACUUUACAUGGACAUCUUACGUUUUUCUCCCAGUGUUUGAUUUUGAAAGCUUACUUUUCUCUCCCAGUUUAUAUUUUUGAGAGGAAAAAACUUACUUUAUGA